GGUCUCCAUACUGGAAGAGAAGGUUCAAGGUCUGGAGAAACAAAUAUCGACCUUGCGUUGCAUAAAAGAAACUGAAGAUUUCCUAGACAGACGUCAGGAUAUGCUUCUAUGGGCACAAUGUUCUAAAGAUUCAGAGCAGGCCGCGUAGCUGGGACAGGAGGAUGGUGAAGAAAUUUGGCAGCAUGUGACCUCCAGAAGAAGAAAGGGGAGUGUCCAUGUACCAGCAACGCAGAUACAGCUUUCUUUUAGAACAA